CCUACGGGUGGCAGCAGUGGGGAAUAUUGGGCAAUGGGCGCAAGCCUGACCCAGCAACGCCGCGUGAAGGAAGAAGGCUUUCGGGUUGUAAACCUCUUUUAUCAGGGAAGAAGCAAGUCUCGGUACAUGAUGAAUAAGCCACGGCUAACUACGUGCCAGCCGCCGCGGUAAUACGUAGGUGGCACGCGUUAUCCGGAUAUACUGGGUGUAAAGGGCUUGUAGGCGGGAGUGCAAGUCAGAUGUGAAAACUCAGGGCUCAACCCAUAGCCUGCAUUUGAAACUGGACUUCGUGAGUGCUGGAGAGGCAAGCGGAAUUCCGGGUGUAGCGGUGAAAUGCGUAGAUAUACGGAGGAACACCAGUGGCGAAGGCGGAUUGCUGGACAGUAACUGACGCUGAGGCGCGAAAGCGUGGGGAGCAAACAGGAUUAGAUACCCCAGUAGUC
rnacentral:rRNA from 1 species